rnacentral:rRNA from 1 species
GGGGGGGGGGGGGGGGGGGCGGGGGGCGGGCGGGGGGAGGGGGGGGGGGGGGGGCUGGCUUCGCUGGGGUGAGCGGCGGAGGGGCGAGGAACACGGGGAUGACCUACCCACCAGACUGGGCUAGCUUCGGGAAACCGGAGCUAAUACCGGACAAUAUCUCGACCCGCAUGGCCCAAAAGUAAAAGACGGUCUUGCUGCCCCCUACAGCUGUAUCCGCGCUGGCUUAGCUAUUUCCUAAGGUAACGGAUUACCAAGGCAACGAUGCAUAGCCGACCUGAGAGGGGGAGAGGCCAAAGUGGAACUGGGACACGGUCGAGACUACUGCGAGAGGCAGCAGUAGGGAAUCUUCCGCAAUGGGCGAAAGCCUGAUGGAACAACGCCGCGUGAGUGAUGAAGGUCCUCGGAUCGUAGAACUCUGGUAUUAGGGAAGAACAUAUGUGUGAGUGACUGUGCACAGCUUGACGGUAACUAAUCAGAAAGCCACGGCUAACUACGUG